UCCGGUUGAUCCCGCCGGACCUGACUGCUAUCGGAUUGGUACUAAGCCAUGCGAGUCGUUGUAGCAAUACAAGGCGGACGGCUCAGUAACACGUAGUCAACCUAACCUAUGGACGUGGAUAACCUCGGGAAACUGAGAAUAAACCGCGAUAGAUCAUUAUGCCUGGAAUGGCUUAUGGUUCAAACAAUUUAUUGCCGUAGGAUGGGACUGCGGCCUAUCAGCUUGUUGGUGAGGUAAUGGCCCACCAAGGCUAUAACAGGUACGGGCUCUGAGAGGAGAAGCCCGGAGAUGGGUACUGAGACACGGACCCAGGCCCUAUGGGGCGCAGCAGGCGAGAAACCUUAGCAAUGUGCGAAAGCACGACUAGGUUAAUCCGAGUGAUUUCUGUUGAAGAAAUCUUUUGUCAGUCAUAAAACCACAGACGAAUAAGGGGUGGGCAAGUCUGGUGUCAGCCGCCGCGGUAAUACCAGCACCUCGAGUGGUCAGGAGGUUUAUUGGGCCUAAAGCAUCCGUAGCCGGCUACGCAAGUCUCCGGUUAAAUCCAGCUGCUCAACAGAUGGGCUGCCGGAGAUACUACAUAGCUAGGGAGCGGGAGAGGCAGACGGUAUUCUGUGGGUAGGGGUAAAAUCCUUUGAUCCAUAGAGGACCACCAGUGGCGAAGGCGGUCUGCCAGAACGCGUUCGACGGUGAGGGAUGAAAGCUGGGGGAGCAAACCGGAUUAGAUACCCGGGUAGUCCCAGCUGUAAACGAUGCAAACUCGGUGAUGCAUUGGCUUAUGGCCAAUGCAGUGCCGCAGGGAAGCCGUUAAGUUUGCCGCCUGGGAAGUACGGACGCAAGUCUGAAACUUAAAGGAAUUGGCGGGGGAGCA
rnacentral:rRNA from 1 species